GACGAACCGUGCGAACGUUAUUCGGAAUCACUGGGCUUAAAGCGCGUGUAGGCGGGUCGGCACGUCGGGCGCUAAAAUCCCCCGGCUUAACCGGGGAAGGGGCGCCGAUACGACCGCCCUGGAGGAACGUAGGGGGAGCUGGAACUUCCGGUGGAGCGGUGAAAUGCGUAGAGAUCGGAAAGAACACCAACGGCGAAAGCACUCUGCUGGGCCGACACUGACACUGAGAGACGAAAGCUAGGGGAGCGAAUGGG
rnacentral:rRNA from 1 species